rnacentral:rRNA from 1 species
GGUGGCGAGUGAAGCGCAACAGCUCAAAUGGGGAUGACUGGCCCGUCGGGGUCCGAGUUGUAAUUUGUAGAGGAUGUCCCGGCGUCGGCCCAGGCCCAGGUCCCUUGGAACAGGGCGCCAGAGAGGGUGAGAGUCCCGUACUUGGCCUGGAGACUUCGCCGUGUGGGGCACCUUCGACGAGUCGAGUUGUUUGGGAAUGCAGCUCUAAGCGGGAGGUAAAUUUCUUCUAAAGCUAAAUACCGGCCAGAGACCGAUAGCGCACAAGUAGAGUGAUCGAAAGAUGAAAAGCACUUUGGAAAGAGAGUUAAAAAGCACGUGAAAUUGUUGAAAGGGAAGCGCUCGCAGGCAGACUUGCCCGCGGCGGUUUCGCCGGGUGUUCCACCCGGUUUACUCCGCCGCGUACGGGCCAGCAUCGGUUUGGACGGUCGGAUAAAGGCGGUGGGAAUGUGGCUCCCCCCGGGGAGUGUUAUAGCCCGUCGCGCAAUACGGCCAGCCCGGACCGAGGAUCGCGUUCUCGAGGAUGCUGGCGUAAUGGCUGUGAGCGGCCCGUCUUGAAACACGGACCAAGGAGUCUAACAUCUGUGCGAGUGUUCGGGUGUCAAACCCGUGCGCGUAAUGAAAGUGAACGUGGGUGGGAGCUUUUUUGCGCACCAUCGACCGAUUCAGAUGUCUUCGGAUGGAUUUGAGUAAGAGCACAGCUGUUGGGACCCGAAAGAUGGUGAACUAUGCAUGAACAGGGUGAAGCCAGAGGAAACUCUGGUGGAGGCUCGCAGCGGUUCUGACGUGCAAAUCGAUCGUCAAAUUUGUGCAUAGGGGCGAAAGACUAAUCGAACCAUCUAGUAGCUGGUUCCUGCCGAAGUUUCCCUCAGGAUAGCAGUAACGUUUCCAGUUUUAUGAGGUAAAGCGAAUGAUUAGAGGCCUGGGGGUUGAAACAACCUUCACSUAUUCUCAAACUUUAAAUAUGUAAGAAGCCCUUGUUGCUUAAUGAACGUGGGCAUCGAAUUACCCGUACAGCCCCU